rnacentral:lncRNA from 13 species
CCUGCACUACAGAAUAGAAGUCACUUGGAAGUUCUUGGCAUAUAAUAAAGAAAAUGGUUGUAAAUUGAGAGAAAUCUUUGUGAUUCGUGCCUGUACGUGGAUCUUAUCCAUAAGGAUCUGUCUUCAGAGGAGAAAUGCAGUCUAAACAGGAAGAGGAAAGUGGGUGAAGAAGAUUCCCUUCUGAUGUGGAGAAAGAGUUUCUCUUGUGGAUGUCAUCUCUACCAUCCCUUACAGUGCCUUGGAAGUCAUCUGGCCCAAUUUCCUCAUACAAUUCAAAGCUUCUUUGUAAGAUCUACAAUGUCUAACACUGUGCUUGGUACAGAAAAAACUGUACUGUAAUUUCCCGUGGUGCCGGGCGAGUCCAGACCAACCUGCUGUUGACCACCAUACAGCAAAAUCCUCCCUUUUGAGAAUAAGUUUACUGUGGAGCAUUGUUGAGACACUGUCUACACCAGAAGAUGUGAAAUUUGGAACAUCUUUGAAGAGGAGGAGGCUUCAAAACCAGUCAGAGACUGGCCGGGUGCGGUGGCUCAUGUCUGUAAUCCCAGCACUUUGGGAGGCCAAGGUGGGUGGAUCACCUGAGGUCAGGAGAUCAAGACCAGGCUGGCCAACAUGGUGGAAUCCUGUCUGUACAAAAAAUACAAAAAAAUUAGGCAGGUGUGGUGGCAGAUGCCUGUAAUCCCUGCUACUCCAUAGGCUGAGGCUGAGGCAGGAGAAUUGCUUGAACCUGGGGGGCAGAGGUUGCAGUGAGCAGGGAUUGCGCCAUUGCACUCCAGCCUGGGCAACAAAAGCAAAACUUCAUCUCAAAAAAAAAGAAGUCAGUAA